rnacentral:lncRNA from 1 species
CUGUGCGGAUCACCGCAGUGUGACAGAGCGCCCCCACCUGGAUCCCCUGUGUGAUCGCAUAUUCAUUUGUACAUAAUAUCCACCUGAACAGAUUUUGUUUUUAGAUACCUCUGGCAAGACUGAAUGUGCUUGUUUUAUUAUUUUUCUUUUUUUCCUUUUUGUUUUGUUAUUUUUAAUUUGAGUGGACGGGGACACUUAGUGUCUAAAGCGGAAAGAGAGAAAGAGGGAAUGAGUGAGCGUGUAAGACAAAACAAAAAUGGAAAGAAUGAGGGACAUUUUUAUAAAAAUACAAUGACCUCUCCCUUUGUCCUCAACCCCCUUAUUAAAUAAGCAAAUAAUAAAUAGGUUAAAAAAAAAAAAAAAAUACAAAAAAAAGUGUAAUAAAAAUAAAAUUUUAAACUCUCCUUUUGUCUUGUGUUUUGAAUGUUAUUCUCUGAGUUGAUCUUAUUGCUGGCAUUUGCUAAAAACCCCUUACUUAAAUAAGACAAUAAUAAAUGUUAAAAAAAAAAAAAAAUACAAAAAAAGUGUAUAAAAAUAAAUUUUAAACUCUCCUUUUGUCUUGUGUUUUGAAUGUUAUUCUCUGAGUUGAUCUUUAUUGCUGGCAUUUGCUAAAUUUCUCAGCCAUAAUUACAAGUUCCAUUCAUAAUGUAGCACCAUACACCAUAUGAAUUGUAAAAGUUUUAUUGUAAAAUUUACUUCGCUAUUUACAAACCAAUAGCUAACAUUAAUAAUUAUGACAAAAAGCUGUAUAUUACACGGCAGAGUCAAAAAAAAAAAGUUCUUAUAUUUGAAAGCAAGAGCCUGGAUGCAGUACACUAUGAACAGCAAAUGUUAUUUAAAAAAAACCAUUCUCAGGUAUUGUCAGCAAAUGUCUUAUGGAUUGAGGGAGGAAGUUUUCUGACGUGACUCGGAUUCGAAGCUUUCUUGGUGAUGCACUUCAAUAUUCAAAGCCCAUGUAAAUCUGAAAACUGGCAGUCAGGAUGCUUCUUGGGUCUGACCUUGUUAACUGUCAUUUUUUGGUAAAAUGCAAAUCCUGAGGAAAAGGAAAAUGGAAUAAGAUUUUAUUUUCUCUCUCUCUCUCUUCCAUUCAAUCCUAAAUAAAUACAUUAUAUAUAUAUAUAUAUAUAUAUACAUACAAGUAAAUUAGAGAACUACAUAGUACCUUGGUUAUUAGUAAUUCUGUGUUGACAUAAUCAGAGCUCGCCCCGACUUCCGACGGGACAGACCUGAUGAGGAGAAGGACCAUAAUGAAUUAAUUAUUUGGUAUGUUGAUCAUAAAGAUAAAUGCUGAUCUUUGGCUCUUUCUAUUCAUCAAAGAAUCCUGGAAAAAUAAUUACUCAAGAAAUGUUUCUUGAACAAAUCAGCAUAUUAGAAUGAUUUCUGAAGGAUCAUGUGACACUGAACACUGAUGAGGAAAAUUUUGCUUUGAUCACAGGGAUAAAUUACAUUUUAAAAUAUAUUCAAAUAGAAAGCAGUUAUUUUAAAUAGUAAAAUAUUUCACAAUAUUACUGUGUUUCCUGUAUUUUGGAUCAAAUAAAUGGAGGCUUAGUGAGCAGAAGAGACUGCUUUAAAAAAACAUUAAAAAAAUCUUAUUGUUCAAAAAC